UACGUAGGGUGCGAGCGUUAAUCGGAAUUACUGGGCGUAAAGCGUGCGCAGGCGGUUUUGUAAGCCAGAUGUGAAAUCCCCGGGCUCAACCUGGGAAUGGCAUUUGGGACUGCAAGGCUGGAGUACGGCAGAGGAGACUGGAAUUCCUGGUGUAGUAGUGAAAUGCGUAGAUAUCAGGAGGAAUACCGAUGGCGAAGGCAGGUCUCUGGGCUGAUACUGACGCUCAUGCACGAAAGCGUGGGGAGCAAACAGG
rnacentral:rRNA from 1 species